rnacentral:misc_RNA from 1 species
UCCGUGUUAACCACGACAGUCUGUCUGGAGUGCCCAACUUAAUGAUGGCAACCAAACACAGGGGUUGCGCUCGUUGCGGGACUAACCCAACAUUUCACAACACGAGCUGACGACAGCCAUGCAGCACCUGUCUUUCUGUCCCUUGCGGGCCUAUUAUAUCUCUACAAUAUUCAGAAGAUGUCAAAUCCAGGUAAGGUUCUUCGCGUUGCUUCGAAUUAAACCACAUGAUCCACCGCUUGUGCGGGUCCCCGUCAAUUCCUUUGAGUUUUAGUCUUGCGACCGUACUUCCCAGGCGGGAUACUUAUCGCGUUAGCUUCAACACGGCAGGGGUCAAGACCCACCACGUUUAGUAUCCAUCGUUUACAGCGUGGACUAC